CUAUAUCCACCCUGUAGAUCCGAAUUUGUGUAAAUACAGCAGCAGCCACAAAUUCGCAUCUUGGGGAGUAUGUAGA
rnacentral:pre_miRNA from 1 species